rnacentral:rRNA from 1 species
GUGCCAUAGAAAAGGUUUGCAAGCCCGACCUACCGCUCGGUGGCUUGCUUUGGUUGUGCGUAGAAUAGGCAAGCCCGACCCACCGACGGCGCAGCCGCACGGGUCGAGCACGCCCCACCGAAUGGACCGCCACACGGGCCUCUGGUGCCGCCCUCCUCUACGAGGUCCUCGUGUUCGCCAGCACGAGCCCCGCCGAGGUCGCUACGUGCCCCUCGACGCGCUCACGUCUCACUUCCGCUAACGGGCCCUCCGCGCCACCAACAACGGCGGGCGGCCGUCGCCCGCGGCAUCGUGGCCCGGCCCCGGCUCGCCGCACCGGCAUCUUGCGACGACCACAGCCGCGGCAUCCUUCGCGUCGACGCCCAGGGGCAACAAAACCGCGGUACUCGGCGCCCCCCGUGACGGAGCGAAGACCGGUCACUUAGUCGAACGCCGGUAAGUACCAAGCUUCGCCGGAAGCAGCAGCUACGUGCGGGUGCUGUCAACCGCGUCGUCGUCGUUCCCCGCUGAUUCCCUAAUGCGGUACUCAUUGAUAAAAGCUCGGUUACCCUAUUCCUUUAACAACAAGGACACUAUUACGGUACUGUUAACCAAACUCUUCUGUCACUGUGAAAAAUACGAGCUACCAAUCUGUCAAACGGAGGAUCGUUUAAGUCUAAUCCACACAUCUACUAAAAACGUCUUAGACCUGUACCGUUUAGCUGUUUAACAUCUGAAACUACCCCGGUGGUCUAAUCACAUACAAACCCGUAAAAAAGUCUUGGUUGGAAAACUUGAUCACAAGUAAGUUUAAAAUGAUGGGUACGGUUUAAGUCUGUCUCUAGGUACCGUUGAAUUAAAGGG